UACGUAGGGUGCGAGCGUUGUCCGGAAUUAUUGGGCGUAAAGGGCUCGUAGGCGGUCUGUCACGUCGGGAGUGAAAACUCGGGGCUCAACCCCGAGCCUGCUUCCGAUACGGGCAGACUAGAGGUAUGCAGGGGAGAAUGGAAUUCCUGGUGUAGCGGUGAAAUGCGCAGAUAUCAGGAGGAACACCGGUGGCGAAGGCGGUUCUCUGGGCAUUGCCUGACGCUGAGGAGCGAAAGUGUGGGGAGCGAACAGG
rnacentral:rRNA from 1 species